rnacentral:rRNA from 1 species
ACUCCUACGGGAGGCAGCAGUGAGGAAUAUUGGACAAUGGGCGCAAGCCUGAUCCAGCCAUGCCGCGUGCAGGAAGACUGCCCUAUGGGUUGUAAACUGCUUUUAUACGGGAAGAAACACUCCCUCGUGAGGAGCUUCUGACGGUACCGUAAGAAUAAGGAUCGGCUAACUCCGUGCCAGCAGCCGCGGUAAUACGGAGGAUCCAAGCGUUAUCCGGAAUCAUUGGGUUUAAAGGGUCCGUAGGUGGAUAAUUAAGUCAGAGGUGAAAUCCUGCAGCUCAACUGUAGAAUUGCCUUUGAUACUGGUUGUCUUGAGUUAUUAUGAAGUGGUUAGAAUAUGUAGUGUAGCGGUGAAAUGCAUAGAUAUUACAUAGAAUACCAAUUGCGAAGGCAGAUCACUAAUAAUAUACUGACACUGAUGGACGAAAGCGUGGGUAGCGAACAGGAUUAGAUACCC